CACAUACUCCCUUCGUCCCAAAAUUCUUGUCUUAGAUUUGUCUAAAUACGGAUGUAUCAAGUCACGUUUUAGAUAUAUCUAGACAGAUUUAAGACAAGAAUUUUGGGAUGGAGGGAUUAUAUU
rfam:Triticum aestivum genome assembly, contig: Triticum_aestivum_CS42_TGACv1_scaffold_194973_3AL